CUGAGGUGCUCAGCAGAGGCCUAGGCCCAAGUUUGUGCAGAUGUGGCAAAGUUACAGUUCUGUGGUUUCAUGUUAGUUACAUUAUGGUUGCUGUGUAAUUAGUGCCGCUUAAUGUACGUUACAAAAAAAAUAAAAAUAUAUCUAUGCCAAACUAGAUGUAGUAUUUUUGUAUAAUUGGAUUUCCUAAUACUGAUAUUUGUCAUCCCUACA